CUGUUGUCCUCCGAAAAACUUAAUGGGAGAAACGAUUCAAAAAAUGCAGAAACUCAGGUUAGAAUGCGAAACAGAGAUUCCGAUUCAAUUACAGCGAGCUACUUCUGCACUAACUUCAUUCCGAAAUUCAUUAGAUUUCAUUAAGCUCAAAUCUGAACAAACGUCUCAAUAUCAAGAGAAACUUGGACAGCUCAAAACGCGCUUGAGAGAAUUGGAAGAUGAAUUGGUUAAAGCUCUAGCAGUGAAAACUGAUAGAGAGGCAAAGCGUCUGGACUUGAAUGAUUCAGUACUUGCUGCAAAAGCCAGGAUAGAAGAACUAAAAAGAAUUGUGCAAAUCAAAACAGCAAAGGAAGAAGAGUAUGGAGCAAUCAUUUCAAGACAAUCAAUGGCUAUAGAAGCACAGGAAGAAAAGGUCACAGAUCACAAAGAGAGCAAGGAAGAUGCCGUUUCAUGGUACAAUAAGGUUCUUGGCUUUCGAAUUGAAGGAGGACGUGGAGUCAAAUUUAUAUUUAAUAACAUUGACACAGAACAUCCACAUGAAGAAUAUUCAUUCAUUGUUCGGCAUGAGGACAAUACCUAUACUUUGCUAGAUUGCCAUCCAUUCGUGGAAGACACCAAAGAUUUGGUACAAGAGUUGAAUAGAACUAAUGGUCUGUUCAAGUUCGUCAGAAUCAUGAGAGAAAAGUUUCAAGCGGCUGUAUCGAUCGGAUAUCCUGAUCAGGCUACUUCUGUGCAUCCUGAGGCGGCCACGGUUUCUGUAUCAGCACCCACCUCAUCAGUUUCCGCAAAUGGGAGUGAAUCCAGAAACGAGCAAAAUCAACUGCCUGGUCAACCAGGAGCCCUCGUGAUACGCAACAAGAAGGUUAAACGUGUUGGUGUGGAGAAAUCACAAAUUCUAUCUCCUGCAUCUGCAUCAUCUCAUCGCCGGUCUCCUCGUUUACUUGCUCGCAAUAGAGCAAAGAAUAAUAGAUCAUCCUGAGGUUGUUUGCAUUAACUCAGGAUAUCCGUCAACUUCCUUGUUGAAGAUUACAGUGUUCUGUGGGAGUUUAGAGUUGACAAAUGAAGGCAUGAAACAAUCAGUUGUCCGUCCAUCCGUCCGUGGGAAUCAGGAACUAAUAUCCGAUUUUAAAGUUUCAGAAGGCAUAAAGUCACGGGUCCGCAUCGAGUCAGACUCCACAUGUUUAUGGCUGAGAGCAGAUGUCGUGCUGGAAUACACAAGUGAAGAGGCCAAUGCCCUUCUAAUGCUAACACUAGCAUAGAGGUCCUUAUUGCUGAUCUACAAUUCUUAAGGGACCAAGUGACGAUAAUACAGGUCACUGUCACAACUGGGAUGUUCACCGGCGCAGAAUGAAGCAAGUUACUGCAACUGCUGUGACCGACUUGGGAAGGCUUUCUAUUAUCGCAUGGCUUUUUCUUAGUUACCCUAGUCAGGGAUGCUGUUUCAUAAAAUAUCAACUUCAGAGGAUGCUGAGAGGGCCGUUAGAGCUUUACACAAUCUAUAUACUUGGGGGACCUAUGCUAGCUGAGAAGGCGACUGGUGUGGGGGCUGGUGCAAUUGUUGCUGCUGCUGAAAACCACGAGGCACAAAGGCACCUUGUCUCAAGUUUGGAGGCAUCAGCUGUGGAGCAACAGAGGCAGUCUGCUGCACCUGAGGCUGGGAAACUGGCACUUGACCUACCGAGCCAGAUGAAAGCUGCAACAGGAAUGUGCCUGAUUUAGGGUGGGUCAAAUGAAAGAUGAAUUAUUAAGUCCGUAACUGGCCUUGUGUUGAUGUCUGUAAGCGUGUUCUGGGAGUGUAGUUGUACCGUCAAUGUAUGGUUUAUUGAUGUUUUGAAAAGAUAACAUAGGAUAGGGAAGAAAAGGUUACAUUAAUUGAUCAUACCUGUUGAGGGACUGGAGACAGGAAAGGCAAGUGCUGGAUGACAACCAUUUGAAGGACCACCAAACCCUCAUAUGGGGCCACUCUGAAACCUUUUGGUAAAAGAAGAUGAAAAUUUCAGAAGGGUCUCUCGCGAGCUCCAAAGUUCAAUUGUUAGGGAUUCUCUUUUAUAAGAAAUUAGCACUUCUAGUAAUCAACUGACCACGCACUGAAGCGGUGGUGUGCAUUCGCAUCAGAAGUUGGAGACCAAAAUCAGGACCCCCAAAUGCAGGAGACCCCUGGGAAAGAGAAAAGUACCCAUCUCGCUAUUACCAAAGGACUUGCAUAUGCGUAACAUGGGUAAAUAAGAUCGUAACAUAG